CGGAGGUUGGUGCCGUCUGAGUCUGAAAAGCUGCCCUCUUGCCGUGUUCAUGCUUUGGUAGAACACCUUCAGAGCCUUGGCAAGCUCUCGGUCAGAGCCGGCUUGCUGUGUGCACAUUUGGCUCAUCUCCCCGGCGGAUGGCAGUUGCGCAGUCAUCCCGCUGAUCUUCAGAGUGUUGGAAGGCUUCGGGGCUGAGGUGGAAAAAGGAUGUGGCCUUCACCUGUGACCAUGAGGCCCAGCUGAGAGCAGCUCAGCUCGGUGCAGCCUUCUGUAAUGGGGAGAGACACAGUCAAAGAAAGAAACAUCCCAGUCGCCCAGCUCCAGUGUCAGCUUCAUGCAGUAGGCCAGCGACUGGAGCCAGAUGUGAGCUGAGCCCAAGCGGACGACCUCGACAGGAUCCCAGAAAGGGUCGUCAUCUCGAGCCACAGGGCCGUGAUCUCCAUCUAGAAAGCGCUGGUAAAGUUCCUGCAUUAGGAAUUUCCUAUUGAUGAACUUGGCUUUUGACCAUAUCCACACCUGGAAACACAGAGGAAAGCAGAGAGACACAGUGUGAAAUCGCUGCUCUCAGAUCAGCACACGGGAGAGGCCAGCAGUCAGGAGGGGGCUCACCGAGUUUGUCUGCACUCGCUCCCUCCGCAGCCGCCCUCUCCAGCUGGAAGAAGUCGUAAUCGAACCUGCUCAGGUCCUCACUGCCCCACUCCGAAGGAAACCCCACGUACAGGUGAGGUCAGAGGAGUGAAGUGACUUGCCCAAGACCACACAGUGAGUCAGGAGCAGGCCUGUCCCUCCAGCAGUGGUGCCAUGUUGUCCCCAAGCCAUGGUGGCAGAGGAGCUGGUGUGAACGCCCCAUCCUGCCACGUCUGUGAUGUGGGCACCUCACAUGACUGUCCCCUCCCAGCUCUUGGGGGGGACCUAGGACAUUCUGUGAGCCUGCAGGAAAGUUUACCAAAUGCUGCAGCUUUGUCCUGGUGGUGAUGGGCACCCCGUUAACGGCAACCUUGCAUUUGCUAUGUGGAGUGACCGUCACUUUACCGUCGGCAUUUGUGAAGGAAGCGUGUUUAUCUGAAAUUCUAAGAAGAUGAGAGUCAAAGACACCCAGCAAACGGCGGUUUCCGUGAGCAGGGUUGGAGCCCAGGAAGCAAACCAGCACUGCACCCUAGAUUUCAGCCAGAGGACGAAAGCCCUGCCCUCAGCUUUCUCAGACCAGCCCUGGAGUAGGUGGCCCGGGGAGACCUGGGCAGUGUCCCUGCUUGUCCUGCAGACUGUGUGGCUCUGCAGACCUCUAGAUGGAGGAGGCACAAUUCUCUAAUGCUGGACGAGGACACUGAUCAUGGAAACUCACCCCAAACCUUGAAUCGUGAUAGCAUUUGAGGCAGCCUGACCGGUGCCACAUGAACCUGAAAGGAAUCAAGAUAUAAUUUAUUUUGAAA
rnacentral:lncRNA from 1 species